GUUGGGGUAGCACUUAUUGUGAAUAUGUGGAAAAGAUGUCAGGAUAUCCAUUUUCCUUAAUUGUGACAUGAGAAGAGAAGGCUUGUUGAAGCCACAAGUAGAUCAGAUGGUGUAUGGAGAUUAGUCCAAUUACCAGGGAGACUUACAAAAACUAUAGAUCAAAGCACAAACCAUUAUGAAAGAUUCACCUUUGAAUGAUUAUAGGACACUAUAUAGGGUUGUCUAAUGAUGCAGUUCACUUUGCCAAAAUGGACAGGGCCUUCUUUUCUACUUGUUGAUUUAAGUGUGCUCUAAUAUUCACAAUGUUUUGCAUAUUUUAGAUAAUAGUUUCAUAAAACAAUUUAUUUGUGUGACAACUUAUUCUAUAAUAUCAACACUGACGCAGUUGAAGACUUCUCUAAGAGGUCAGAGUGGAUUAUAUUACCUAAACAGUUAUUUUGAGAGCUACUUGUUUAUUCAUCGAAUAACUUCUUUGGUGCUCUGCAUGAAUCUCAGUCCUUAAGUUUGGAAAUAUAAUGAUCCCUUAACCUCCAAAGGCCACCUUUCUUGAUGACCUAUUACGAGUUCUUCGAGCCAUUCGAUUUGAUGAUCUGAAAGGAACUGCGGUGUAUGAUGAUGUCAUCUAGAUGCUUAAAUUAGCAGAGGGCACAAUGUAACAGAGGUGCGUUAUAAUUCUUCCCUUUCUUCCCAAUGGAUAACUUUUAUCGAGACUUAUGCGUGAUUUAUGACAAGAUCGCUCACACUUUUUGUUUGUACAUAAAUUUUAGCCAUUUAUAUUCUUAUGUUUAUGUUUUUGUAUGUUUAUUGAUCUAAUGAUAUAUGGAAAUCAACAUGUCAAAGCAAUGACUUAUCUUUGUAAGCUGACACUAUUCUAGACUGUCUUUACUCUUCUUACUGAAUACGGAUAUUCACCUUCA